GCUCAGGCCUCAGCAUCCAGCAGACAGCAGAGCAGUUAACGCCAAAAAAAGCCCCAAGAAAAGCCCUAAAAGAAGAUUAUCUUUGUUCUGUAAUUCAUCCCUGAUGUCUAUAAGUUGCUCCUCUGUGAGGACACAAGCUGUGGACCGAAAGAGGAAAACUUCUGUCGAGUUAAAUGUUUUUUGAAACUCCGUCCAAGAUAGAUGAACUAGUGAUGGCUGGACGGUGGUGGAUGCGGUGUGGCCAACCGUAGGAACUGCCUCAGAGGACGUUGGAUUUGCUUGAUCCACUUUUGGAAGCUCAGUUGCUUGCCUUGCCUGGUCCCUUUUCACUUCUUUUGGAUUCUACUG